rnacentral:misc_RNA from 1 species
AUUGAUUCAGUGUCACUAGAACACAGUUUGGUGAACCAAAAACAGGAAAGCAAAAUGCAUUUUAGCUUAGUAUCCUGUACUAAAUUCCUCCUAUCCUUAAAACAUCUAUCAUUUCUUUCCUUCCAAAUAGUCCACCAAAUACACGAUGGGGUGAUCCUCCAUCUUUCUCUGUUUCUUACACCUGCUCCGGCUUCCUCCUCUCAGCUAAAAAGAGUGUCAGCAAUCUUGCAUUCUUGCUUGGCAUUGUCUAGGCUAUGCCUUUGAAUAUUGAUGAAAAUAUUCCAUAGGAACAAACAGUUUACUGUCUCAGCUCCUUUUCACAAGGAAACAUCUAGAGCAGGGAGCAAUUUUCUUCCUUUUGAUCAAAUUUUCAUGUGUCAAAAUGGCUUAUUUAGCUAGAAGCCAG